rnacentral:rRNA from 1 species
UACGAAGGGAGCUAGCGUUGUUCGGAAUCACUGGGCGUAAAGCGCACGUAGGCGGCUGUGUAAGUCAGGGGUGAAAUCCCGGAGCUCAACUUCGGAACUGCCUUUGAUACAGCACAUCUGGAGUCCGGAAGAGGUGGGUGGAAUUCCUAGUGUAGAGGUGAAAUUCGUAGAUAUUAGGAAGAACACCGGUGGCGAAGGCGGCAACCUGGUCCUUUACUGACGCUGAGGCGCGAAAGCGUGGGGAGCAAACAGG